rnacentral:lncRNA from 1 species
UUAUUGUUUGCAGACUUUUUGAUGAUGGCCAUUCUGAAUGGUGUAAGGUGUUACCUCAUAAUAGUUUCGAUUUGCAUUUCUCUAAUAAUCAGUGAUGUUGAGCAUCUUUUCGAGUGUUUUUUGGCCAAAUGUCUUCUUUGGAGAAAUGUGUAUUUAGAACUUAUGCCCAUUUUUUAAUUGGCUUGUUUGUUUGUUGUUGUUGUUGUUUGGUAUUGAGCUGCAUGACUUAUUGGUAUAUUUUGGAGAUUAAACCCUCCCAGAACCCAGGCAUUUUUAUCCAGAAAAGGAAAAAGAGGCGACAUCCAAUUUGGCAUGGAUUCAUUGACUAACUACUUGGUGCCAGAGAUCUUCUAGGCACAGAAGAUAUACUGUGUCUUAGUGUGCUAGGACCAUCAUAACAAAAUACCACAAGCUGGGUGACUUAAACAACAGAUAUUCAUUUCUCACUGUUCUGGAGGCUUCAAGUCGAAGAUCAAGGUGUUGGCAGGGCUGUUUUCCUCUGAGGCCUCUCUUCUUGGCUUGAAGACAGCCUCCUUCUUGUUGCCUCUUCACAAAGUCACCCCCACAAAAUCAUCCCUGGUUGCUCUUCCUCUUCUUAUAAGGACACCAGUCCUAUUUGAUUUAUGUCCAUUCUAAUAGCCUUAUUUAACUUAAUCACCCCUUUAAAGACCUCAUCUUCAAAUAUGGUCACAUUCUGUGAUGCUGGGGGUUAGAGCUUCAACAUAUGAAUUUGGGUUGGGGGAAUAUAAUUCAGCCCAUAACAUGCAUAAAUAAGAAAAAUUCCCUACCAUCUCUGGGAGCUCAGAGAGGUUAUACAACUCCUAUAAUCUAAGGCAGUUUUCAGAUAUUGUGUAGGCAAACUAGCUUGCUAUGUAGAAAAGAUAAAAGCUCUGAUGUCUCUAUUUGCAGAAGCAAGGGCAGUAACCACACCUCACUCCAGGACCUCCAGGGAUUUCUCAAACCCUGAGCAGGGCUAACUGUGAGACCUUGAAAAGUAAUAAGACCUAGUGUUAAUUAAGUGCUUAUUGUGGGCCAGGCACUCUUCUAAAAAUAUGAGCACAUUAAUUCUGGCAUCAUCCUGUUUUACAGUUGGGAAGGAGAGCGCAGAGAAGGAUGUCACUUCCCUCCCACAUGGGCUGACUCCGGAGCCCAAGACUUUUGCUGAGCUGUCCCAUUGGCUCUUUGGAAGGCAAAUAUACCUGAUUCCAGGGUCAUCAAAUCUGAUGAUGACAGUGAUGGUGGUGAUGAUACAGAAACGCUUUAUCUCUCAGCUUCCUGCAGGGGAUGGCUGCUUCCUCUAAACCGUUUUCUAUUUCAUGUUGUCAGUCCUAUUAUAAUAAUAUAAGUGCUUAUAAGUGCUCUUUAUUGUAAGACAUUCAUUGUAAGACAUUGUAAUGCCUUAGAAGGAAAUGGGGUUGUCAUUAUGAAGAAAUACAACUUUCCUAAGCAGGCCCCCUUUAUUCAGGACAGGGAGAGGUAGACAGACAAAAUACAAGAACGUUUGCUCAAGACAUGGUCUAGGUGCUCAGUAAGUGUUAGAAGACUCUGUGAGACCAUUCGCACUGUCAGUCCUGGCUGUGCUUCUGUCCCACCAUAUUGUAUGACACAUCAAGCCAACUACAUAAAUUUUCUGAGCAUCGGUUUCCUUGUCUGUAAAGCAAUGGAUCCCAUAGGUGUAGGGGGGGGUGUUUGCCUGCAUUAAAUGCCUUGCCCAGAACCUGGAACAUGGUGGAACCCAGUAUGCAUUUGUCCUCUUCUACACCCCAAGUACUUGGAUGGGACAUCACAGAGGGCACUGUCUUCUCUAGGGUCCCUCCAUCUGGGCCACUCCAGUGUGGUUCUGUGCUGCCUCCAUCUGGUGGGUAGAGAGCUGAGGGCUUUGAAGUGUGGUCAGAUUACCCUGCCUGUGGGCGCCUCGCUGAGGACAGAAUACAUUCCUCUGAAGGCAUAAUUAAGCAUCAUUUGCAUUUCUUAUAAAGAGCAGAUGCUCAUUUCCAUCAACAAAUGUUCCCAUAUGGUCUUGGCCUUGUUGCAAUUUCCCUCAAGGGCUGGAGUUGAGUUUUGCAAUUAAAGGUGUCCCUUGGCCACACCAGAAAAGGAACUGAGUUUCCACUUGGCCUGGAGACUCUUUGUUCCAUCUCAGACAUGAGGGAAGCCAGCCUGCCUGGACCCAAAGUUCCGACCAUCUUUCCACUCAGGGGGAGAGAUGAGGUCAGCACAGGCUCACUUCCAUACACCGUUCCCCCCUUGGGGAGCCCCUGGGAUUCCAUACACCCUCCUCCCCCCUCCCAGAAUUGGCUAUAAAAUGGAGAAUUGGAUGCACAGAUUGUGAGCCCUCUUCAAUAAAACAUACAAAAGGGACCCUCCCUCCAUGAGCUUCCCAGGUCUCCCUUCAUCCAGCAUCCUCGGGCCCAGCUGCUCAGAAUCCUGAGGGGGCUUCUAGAAGCCUCCACCUACCUGGUGAUGGGACUUCACUUCGUUGCUGGCCCAGCCCUCGCUCCUCCGAUUCAUUGUUCCUUUUCCCAGUCUGUCCUGGCCUCACUCCUUGAAUGUGGCACAUGCUUUAAUCUUCCUGACCAUGCUUGGCUUCCUCCUGACACAACACCCCCUCCCCCUCCCAAGACAGCAUCCACAUCUGUAGGUAACUGCAUUUGAGACAUGGUCCCAUCCCAGCAGUCACUAGGGCUUUCCUGCUUCCCAAGAACAGUUCCCAGCCUGCCAUCCCAGCCAACUAGUUUGGCUUCUCUGUUGAGAACACAGCCUUGUCCUGCCAUUUUUCCCAGAAGUGACCACCAGAGGGUGCCAAUUACCUCUCUCCUCCUCGUGCAAUGCCCCCUGCUAACUUGUGCUCCCAGGCACAUGGCCCCCUCUGCUCCCUUAGUGGUUAGUGGUCCAGGUCUUCCCUUGACCUUCCUUUUCCAUCACAGAUUCUCUUGUGUCCCAUUCCCCCAGGGUUUGCACGGGCUCUGAAUCUUUUCACUGGCAGUGUGAACUGGGUAUACUUCUCAACCAGUCUGAACCUCAGGCUCCUUGAAUGUAAACUGGUGUGUGGGAAGUGGGGUGCAGGUAACAGCUGUAUCGUUAGUUGUUACUGGUGAGUCCAUGAGAUAAAUAGAAAAGUCUCAUUCCCCUUUUCUGAGUGGCAGGAAAUCUCUAAGAUGGGAUGUGAGGCAGGAAGGGGGCUGUCUCUCCUUCAGGUCUCUUCAUAAGGACAAGGAGAAGUGUCCCAGGAGUCCCCAGACCUCCCCUCACGCCUUGAUGGCCCCAAAUAGGCCCCUAUUAACAUCCAUCAACAACAAAGGUUCUGGGAACCCAUGACUGACUUAGACCCAUCAGGAUGUUCUCCUUGGCUGGGGCUGAGAUGAACACCCCUUGAAGCCCAGAGUGAAGGCGGGAGAUGCUUGUUCUGAAUCGAAAGAGGAGGGGAAGGUGGGUGAGAAAUGCAUGUUGAGUGGGCAACCAGCAGCAUCAGCUACACCUGGCAAGCUUAUGUUCCCCAUAUGGCUGUAGGGUUCUUUCCACCAGACCUUUAGAUCACGCCUAAACAUCCAUCCAUGUCGUAGGCAAAGUUUGGCAAGAGGUGCCAGAAUGCAGCAACCCACCAAUGUUCUGGUCUGUGCCUCUGACGUCAGUAGCACAAAGGGUACAAACAGCUCAGUCAGCUUUCCCAAUGGGUGCAUAACUUGGGAAGUGGCUUUUUGAAAGGUGGUUUUAGGAAAACUGGGGGGAAAAAAGCAGGCACACUUCCCUGCUGUGAGUCCAUGGGCCAGACUCCUGGACGAUGCCCCUAAAGCACUCAAUAGCUGGUUUUCUUGGCCAGAGCCUCUCAGGUGCCCUCCAGGUCGGCCCCAAAGUAGAAAAUCCCAUUUACUACCUUUUUAACAGGAAAAGGGCCUGAGAGCAUGCUUCCAAUCAGGCCAGUUGGUUUAACUCCAUAAAAUCUCGUUAAGCAACUGUUAAAUGCUGAGAUCCACAAAAUCUGCCUGUUCUUUGUGGUCAGUCUCUAUCCACUGCAUGCUCUGCAUGAGCCACCAAGAUGGUAGCCCAGGCCUUUUUAGGUCCACUUGUGGAAAGCCGUUGAGCUCUGGCAGCAGGAAGUGAGUCUCCUUUGGACCCAGUCCUUAUAUGGGGAGCCUCAGCCAUUUUCCUGUGAUCUGCAGGCCUGGGGCAGGGGCCUCUGGAUUGGGGUGGAAGAAAUAACUUGGGGGAGGGGCAGGCCAGGGGUGGGAAACUUGUCCUGGCUGAGGAUUCCUGGGACAGUUCUCCUUGUCCUUAUAAGAGACCUAAAGGAGAGACGGCCCCUUGCUGCUUCAUAAACUUAUAUCUAAAUAUGAUGCCUGGACCUGCUUUAGCCACCUUGUGACCAGGCAGCGUAGGGAUGGUUCAGACACAUGGAGAAGUGCAAAGCUAAGAGAUUCGCAGAGAAGCAGAACCAGAGGCAGGUGUCCGCCUGGGCUUGUCCUGCCUAUGACCUUCCUAUUAAGCUAGCUGAGUUGAGGUUGGCCAUGCAGGUACCUAUUUGAUAUAUAGGAUGUAUGAUUGGUCAAGUUGACUAAUACCAUGCCCACCCCUACUGGGGCCCAUAGGAAGAAAUCUUAUUACUUUAUUCAUAGGGGCAGCUAAUAGAAUUGUAACAAUGGGGUUCUGUAUUAUUUUAUAUACAUUAAAAAUAUUUUUGGUUGCAUGGAACAGUCAGCCAACUUGAAGAAGGUUUAAAUGCUAAUGAGAAUUUAUUGUCAGAAUAUGGGCCUGUCUGACAAUGCCCAAAGCUUGGAGUGUGGUUUUGGCCUUGAGAACACACUGGAACCAAGGUUUCAGAUGCCCUCAGGACACCCCUUCUGUACUGGGUUGAGUAGUGUCCGCAAAGGCACAUGUUUCAGAAUUGACCUAAUUUGAGGAGUUCCUGUUGUGGCUCAGCGGGUUAAGGACCCGACCUUGUCUCUGUUAAGGAUGCAGGUUUGAUCCCUGGCCUCACUCAGUGGGUUAGGAUGUGGCAUUGCCACAAGUUGUGGUGUAGUUCAUAGAUAUGGCUCAGAUGCAGUGUUGCCAUGGCUGUGGCAUAAACCGGCAGCUGCAGCCCUAAUUUGACCACUUGCCUGGGAACUUCCAUAUGCUGCAGGUAUGGACUUCCCAUGUGGCUCACAACAUAUGCUGUAAG